GGGGGUGAUUGGUCUCGACUUCGGUAGUCGAGGUGGGAGAAGCGAGCCGUGGUCUCCGGAGCCACGUUAAAGAGCCGGAACCAACAACAAACGCCGAGCCUCAGCUCGCACUCGCUGCCUAAACAGUAGCGACGUUUGACCGGCCUCAGCCCUGCGGGCCGGAUCCGAACGACAUCUAGCAGGACUUGCCCGAGCGGUCGUGCCGGUAGGCCGGACGGGGACACUUGAUCGGCUAGGGCAACGCUGCGCUGCUGGUGGCGAGGCGGGGUCCGAAACUCAAUCACCAGAUGCGCUCGGAGAAGGCCCACUGAGAAGCUGAAGGACGCGGGUUCGAUUCCCGCCACCUCCACAU
rnacentral:tmRNA from 1 species